UACGUAGGGUGCGAGCGUUGUCCGGAAUUAUUGGGCGUAAAGCGCUCGUAGGCGGUUUGUCACGUCUGCUGUGAAAUCCCGAGGCUCAACCUCGGGCCUGCAGUGGGUACGGGCAGACUGGAGUGCGGUAGGGGAGAAUGGAAUUCCUGGUGUAGCGGUGGAAUGCGCAGAUAUCAGGAGGAACACCGAUGGCGAAGGCAGUUCUCUGGGCCGUAACUGACGCUGAGGAGCGAAAGCGUGGGGAGCGAACAGG
rnacentral:rRNA from 1 species